AAUGAACGCUGGCGGCGCGCCUAAUACAUGCAAGUCGAGCGAGAAGACGUAGCAAUACGUUUGUAAAGCGGCGAACGGGUGAGGAAUACAUGGGUAACCUACCCUCGAGUGGGGAAUAACUAGCCGAAGGUUAGCUAAUACCGCGUACGCUUCUUGGACUUCGGUUCAGGGAGGAAAGCGAUACCGUGGGUAUCGCGCUCUUGGAUGGGCUCAUGUCCUAUCAGCUUGUUGGGAGGUAACGGCUCACCAAGGCUUCGACGGGUAGCUGGUCUGAGAGGACGAUCAGCCACACUGGCACUGCGACACGGGCCAGACUCCUACGGGAGGCAGCAGUAAGGAAUAUUGCGCAAUGGGCGAAAGCCU
rnacentral:rRNA from 1 species